GUGCUCACUUCAGCAGCACAUAUACUAAAAUUGGAACAAUACAAAAAAGAUUAGCAUGGCCCCUGCACAAGAAUAACCCGAAAAUUCAUGAAGUGUUCCUUAUUUAU
rfam:Canis lupus familiaris chromosome 6, whole genome shotgun sequence.